rnacentral:misc_RNA from 1 species
GUGAAUCAUCAAAUCUUUGAACGCAAAUUGCACUCUCUGGUAUUCCUGAGAGUAUGCCUGUUUGAUAAUCAUUAUAAUCAAAAUCGCAGCGAAGCCUUUUGGGUGAAGCACAGAAGUUUGUGUCAUCCUAACUCUUUAAUAGACCUAAAAUUAACACUCUUUUUUCUCUCACUUUGAGACGUACAUAAUUUUUUUUAUUCGCCUACUCUUUUGGCAAAUGGUUUACAAGAUCUUGA